GACGAACGCUGGCGGCGUGCUUAACACAUGCAAGUCGAACGGAAAGGCCCUGCUUUUGUGGGGUGCUCGAGUGGCGAACGGGUGAGUAACACGUGAGUAACCUGCCUUUGACUUUGGGAUAACUUCAGGAAACUGGGGCUCAUACCGGAUAGGAGCUCCUGCUGCAUGGUGGGGGUUGGACAGUUUCGGCGGUUGGGGAUGGACUCGCGGCUUAUCAGCUUGUUGGUGGGGUAGUGGCUUACCAAGGCUUUGACGGGUAGCCGGCCUGAGAGGGUGACCGGCCACAUGGGGACUGAGAUACGGCCCAGCCUCCUACGGGAGGCAGCAGUGGGGAAUAUUGCACAAUGGGCGGAAGCCUGAUGCAGCAACGCCGCGUGCGGGAUGACGGCCUUCGGGUUGUAAACCGCUUUCGCCUGUGACGAAGCGUGAGUGACGGUAAUGGGUAAAGAAGCACCGGCUAACUACGUG
rnacentral:rRNA from 1 species